rnacentral:rRNA from 1 species
ACCUGUUGGUUCGAUGCUGCGCAUGCAGUAAAGCGUGGCGGCGGGGACUACACUCCGAUUGGGGCGGGGGGUUCCUGGGGAGUCGGCAUGGAAGGUUUCUUAGCAAACUCUUGCAUUUCCUUGUCUUCUGUCUGAACUGUCAUACACAAUAAGUUAAAACUUUCAACAACGGAUCUCUUGGUUCUCGCAUCGAUGAAGAACGCAGCGAAAUGCGAGAGGUAGUGUGAAUUGCAGAAUUCCGUGAAUCAUCGAAUCUUUGAACGCACAUUGCGCCUCCUGGUAUUCCGGGAGGCAUGCCUGUUCGAGCGUCAUUAAAAUCAUAUCAAGCAAUUUUGCAUGGUCAUGGAGGAAAAGUUCUCACCUGGUGUGGACUCCCCGCCGAAAUACAAUGGCGGAAAGUCUCUGAUACGUGGCGUAUUAGUAACGUUCGCUUUGUAUCCGGAGUCAUUCCUGCCAGUGAAACCCCCACAAUUCUCUUGAUUGACCUCGGAUCACGUAUGGAUACCCGCU